CCUCUCCAUGAAUCACCACCCCUUUGUAGCUCCUUGCCCUGUCCUCUCUCUUGUUCGCCGGCUCCUCUCUGCUAUCUGUUUUCUUCUCCACGCUUUUAGGAUUGAGAGGACAAUGAUCCUCAUCAUGGCAUAGACUAGAACAGAACUUGCAAAUGCCAAACAGCUUCUCGUAUUUAAGAGACACCGGGACCUCUUCCUCAUCAUAGAAUUCUCCUCCUUUGAACUCCACGGAUGUUUCCAGUGUUAGCUCUUUAAAGCCAUCAAUCACCACUCGCAUAUUUCCGUAGUCCAGAUCUACAUCCGUAGUCUCUCCAAUGGCAUCACCUAUGCUUUGAAGCGCUGGAGUUGACCAAAACUCUGUCGGAAGACCUUCCAC
rnacentral:lncRNA from 1 species